GGGGUGUAGCUCAGUUUGGUUAGAGCGCUGGCCUGUCACGCCAGAGGCCGCGGGUUCAAGUCCCGUCACUCC
rnacentral:tRNA from 1 species